rnacentral:rRNA from 1 species
AUUGAACGCUGGCGGCAUGCUUUACACAUGCAAGUCGAACGGUAACAGGCCGCAAGGUGCUGACGAGUGGCGAACGGGUGAGUAAUGCAUCGGAACGUGCCCAGUCGUGGGGGAUAACUACUCGAAAGAGUAGCUAAUACCGCAUACGAUCUAUGGAUGAAAGCGGGGGACCGUAAGGCCUCGCGCGAUUGGAGCUGCCGAUGUCAGAUUAGGUAGUUGGUGGGGCAAAGGCUCACCAAGCCAACGAUCUGUAGCUGGUCUGAGAGGACGACCGGCCACACUGGGACUGAGACACGGCCCAGACUCCUACGGGAGGCAGCAGUGGGGAAUUUUGGACAAUGGGCGCAAGCCUGAUCCAGCAAUGCCGCGUGCAGGAAGAAGGCCUUCGGGUUGUAAACUGCUUUUGUACGGAACGAAACGACUCUGGUUAAUACCCGGGGCUAAUGACGGUACCGUAAGAAUAAGCACCGGCUAACUACGUG